rnacentral:lncRNA from 1 species
AGGGUGUUGUCACUCUCUAGCAGGAAAUAGCCUAUCCAGCCUGGGGCUAUUUGUCGUUCCAAGCUCGGUGUGUUUCCUCCUCGGUAGUAUAUCUGCUGGCAUCUUCAUGUGCAAAAGACACUGGUUGUCAAUGAGGUCUGGGAGCAAGCAAAGCAGUCGUCUCAAUUACCCCUAUGGGAACAGUGGUAGGCUUGGGGGACCGUUGUCCUAGACGGUCACAUGGGGCAGGCGUCCCUGCUUUGGCUGAAUUUAAAGAAAUAAAGGUUGGAGAUAACACAUUCAUCUGCCUAUGCAAGGGACAGUAUCUAAAUAAUCCACUUGCCAAUCUGUUACAUGGUGGACAGCCUUCUGAAUAUCUGAAUGUGUCCUGCUCAAUAUGAUCUACAAUAGAGAACAUGAUGAGCACCCAAUACCAUAAGACAUUACUGCAAACCAAAACAACAUGGUACUGGUACAAGAACAGACACAUACACCAGUGGAACAGAAUAGAAAACACAGAAAUAAGACCACGCACCCACGACUAUCUGAUCUUCAACAAACCUGACGAAAGCAAACAAUGGGGAAAGAAUUCCCUGUUCAAUAAACGGUGCUGGGAUAACAGGCUAGCCAUAUGCAAACAAUUCAAACUGGACCCCUUCUUUACACCUUACACAAAAAUUAACUCACGAUGGAUUAAAGACUUAAAUGUAAAACCCAAAACUAUAAAACCCUGGAAGACAACCUAGGUAAUACCAUUCAGGACAUAGGCAUGGGCAAAAAUUUCAUGACGAAGAUUCUGAAAGCAAUUGCAACAAAAGGAAAAAUUGAAAAUGGGAUUUAACUAAACGAAAGAGCUUCUGCACAGCAAAAGAAACUAUCAACAGAGUAAACAGACAACCUACAGAAUGGGAGAAAAUUUUUGCAAACUAUGCAUCUGACAAAGGGCUCAUAUUCAGCAUCUAUAAGGAACUUAAACAAAUUUAUUUUAAAAAAGCAAACAAUUCCAUCAAAAAGUGGACAAAGGACAUGAACAGACACUUCCCAAAAGAAGACAUACAUGUGGCCAACAAACAUAUUUUAAAAAGCUAAACAUCAUUGAUUAUUAGAGAAACGCAUAUCAAAACCACAAUGAUAUUGUGCCAUUGCACUCCAGCCUGGGCAAUAAGAGCGAAACUCCAUCUCAAAACAAACAAACAAAAACCCACAAUAAGAUAUCAUCUCACGCCAGUCAGAACAGCUAUUAUUAAAAAGUCAAAAAAUAAAAGAUGCUGGCGAGGUUGUGGAGAAAAAAGAAUGCUUAUACACUGUUGGUGGGAGUAUAAAUUAGUUCAGUCAUUGUGGAAGACACUGUGGUGAUUCUUCAAAGACUUAAAGACAGAUACCAUCUGAUCCAGCAAUCCCAUUACUGGGUAUAUACCCAAAGGAAUAUAAAUCAUUCUGUUAUAAAAGCACAUGGACGUGGCCAGGCACGGUGGCUCAUGCCUGUAAUCCCAUCACUUUGGGAGGCUGAGGCAGGUGGAUCACCUGAGGUCAGGAGUUCGAGACCAGGCUGACCAAUAUGGAGAAACCCCUGUCUCUACUAAAAAUACAAGAUUAUAUGGGCGUGGCGCCACAUGCCUGUAAUCCCAGCUACUGGGGUGGCUGAGGCAGGAGAAUCGCUUGAUCCCGGGAGGCAGAGGUUGCAGUGAGCUGAGAUCGCACCAUUGCACUCUAGCCUCGGCAACAAGAGCAAAACUCCAUCUCAAAAAAAAAAAAAAAUGCAUGCAUGUGUUCAUUGCAGUGGUAUUCACAAUAGCAAAGACAUGGAAUCAACCUAAAUGCCCAUCAGCGAUAGACUGGAUAAAGAAAAUGUGGUAUAUAUACAUCAUGGACUACUAUGCAGUCAUACAAAAAGAACAACAUCAUGUCCUUUGCAGGGACAUGGAUGGAGCUGGAGGCCAUUAUUCUUAGCAAACUAAUGCAGGAACAGAAAACCAAAUACCGCAUGUUCUCGCUUAUAAGUAGAAGCUAAAUGAUGAGAACACAGGGACACAUAGAGGGGAACAACACCCACUGGGGCCUAUCAGAGGGUGGAGGGUGGGAGGAGGGAGAGGAUCAGGAAAAAUAACUAAUGGGUACUAGGCUUAAUAGCUGGGUGACGAAAUAACCUGUACAAAAAAACCCCCAUGACACACAUUUACUUAUGUAACAAACCUGCAUAUGAACCCCCGAACUUAAAAUAAAAGUUAAAAAAAGAAAAGCCAUGGCUGCAGCACAGUAAAAGCUUCAGCGGCUGACAUAAUGCCAACAAGAUAACAAAACUAGAAGAAAAGACGGGAAUGCGAAAAAAGACAAGACUCUUUCAUGGGCUUUGUGCUGGGUGGAUAAUAGUUGCACUUAUUGGGAGGAUAAUAAUUGCACUUAUUUCAGCAUACCCCCUGGACAAUAUGAAUCAUUUAAUGUUGACAACGCCAUGUAGGGGCAGGAAGUUGUAGGGGCUCCCAUUUUCUUCCUCUCUCAAGAACAGUCUUCACGGAGUGCCUGCGAUUGCAGGCACGCGCCGCCACGCCUGACUGGUUUUCGUAUUUUUUUUGGUGGAGAUGGGGUUUCGCUGUGUUGGCGGGGCCGGUCUCCAGC